GCAGUCGAGCGAGCGGACCAACAGAUUUACUUCGGUAAUGACGUUGGGAAAGCGAGCGGCGGAUGGGUGAGUAACACGUGGGGAACCUGCCCCUAAGUCUGGGAUACCAUUUGGAAACAGGUGCUAAUACCGGAUAAUAAAGCGGAUCGCAUGAUCAGCUUUUGAAAGGCGGCGUAAGCUGUCGCUAAGGGAUGGCCCCGCGGUGCAUUAGCUAGUUGGUAAGGUAACGGCUUACCAAGGCGACGAUGCAUAGCCGAGUUGAGAGACUGAUCGGCCACAUUGGGACUGAGACACGGCCCAAACUCCUACGGGAGGCAGCAGUAGGGAAUCUUCCACAAUGGACGCAAGUCUGAUGGAGCAACGCCGCGUGAGUGAAGAAGGUUUUCGGAUCGUAAAGCUCUGUUGUUGGUGAAGAAGGAUAGAGGUAGUAACUGGCCUUUAUUUGACGGUAAUCAACCAGAAAGUCACGGCUAACUACGUGCCAGCAGCCGCGGUAAUACGUAGGUGGCAAGCGUUGUCCGGAUUUAUUGGGCGUAAAGCGAGCGCAGGCGGAAAAAUAAGUCUAAUGUGAAAGCCCUCGGCUUAACCGAGGAACUGCAUCGGAAACUGUUUUUCUUGAGUGCAGAAGAGGAGAGUGGAACUCCAUGUGUAGCGG
rnacentral:rRNA from 1 species